GAUGAACGCUGGCGGCGUGCUUAACACAUGCAAGUCGAACGAUGAAGCCCAGCUUGCUGGGUGGAUUAGUGGCGAACGGGUGAGUAACACGUGAGUAACCUGCCCUUGACUCUGGGAUAAGCCUGGGAAACUGGGUCUAAUACUGGAUAUGACUUCUCAUCGCAUGGUGGGGGGUGGAAAGAUUGAUUGGUCUUGGAUGGACUCGCGGCCUAUCAGCUUGUUGGUGAGGUAAUGGCUCACCAAGGCGACGACGGGUAGCCGGCCUGAGAGGGUGACCGGCCACACUGGGACUGAGACACGGCCCAGACUCCUACGGGAGGCAGCAGUGGGGAAUAUUGCACAAUGGACGCAAGCCAGAUGCAGCGACGCCGCGUGAGUGAUGACGGCCUUCGGGUUGUAAACCUCUUUCAGUAGGGAAGAAGCGAGAGUGACGGUACCUGCAGAAGAAGCGCCGGCUAACUACGUG
rnacentral:rRNA from 1 species